GAUGAACGCUGGCGGCGUGCUUAACACAUGCAAGUCGAACGGAAAGGCUCCUGCUUGCAGGGGUACUCGAGUGGCGAACGGGUGAGUAACACGUGGGUGAUCUGCCCUGCACUUCGGGAUAAGCCUGGGAAACUGGGUCUAAUACCGGAUAGGUCGAUGGUUUGGAUGCCAUUGUGGAAAGUUUUUCGGUGUGGGAUGAGCUCGCGGCCUAUCAGCUUGUUGGUGGGGUAAUGGCCUACCAAGGCGUCGACGGGUAGCCGGCCUGAGAGGGUGUACGGCCACAUUGGGACUGAGAUACGGCCCAGACUCCUACGGGAGGCAGCAGUGGGGAAUAUUGCACAAUGGGCGCAAGCCUGAUGCAGCGACGCCGCGUGGGGGAUGACGGCCUUCGGGUUGUAAACUCCUUUCGCUAGGGACGAAGCGCAAGUGACGGUACCUGGAGAAGAAGCACCGGCUAACUACGUG
rnacentral:rRNA from 1 species